UCUUCUUUGACUUUUCAAGACAAUUUGAGCUUCCAAGAAACUCUCUUGCUCUCAUUUUUCCAUGGGUUCACAUGCAAAUCAGAAUUUCUCACUCACUUUACUCUCUUUUCUCUUAAGGAAAGAGCUAGGAAGCUCCCUUGAGUCUUUCUCUCAAGUCCAUGGGUUCACACACUAAUAGAAAGACAAGACUCAUUUCAUUUCUUAUUCACACUUUCUCAAAGAAACUAGAAGACUCAAAAACUCUCUCAAGCUCUCUACCUCUCAUACUUUCGAGUCCAGCCACUAGGAAAGGGAAAUCCUUUCAUGCAAGAGUGAUUUGUUUAUAUUUCCCCUCAAGAACCAUAAAUUUGGUGUUACCAGUUCCCCAGGUCUAAGCUCCUUCGACUUUAGGCUCUCGGUUCCUCUACUUUUAGGUAAGGGAUAAGUUAUAUGGGCAUUUGGUAAGUCAUGAGAUUAUUUUAAAGUAUAUUAUGCAUUAAAAGGUUUUUUUAUUAGAGAUAUGACAUAUAAUCAUGUUUCAGACAAAAGUAUGUUUGUGAACUUUCGAAAACUUAUGUAUAUGAUUUAAGCAUAUUAAUGCUAUUAUUGAUUCCACGAACAUGAUGUUUAAAGAAAAGAAUGAAGAUACUAUUAUUAUGAAAUGUUAUGCAAAAUAAGAAAUUUCAGUAUGAUGUAAAAUAUGAGAUAUUUUCGGAUUAUAUCCUCUGGUGAUCUGAACUCUGCCAGUAGGGGUUAAUUACUGGCUUUCCAUGGAAAACGUUAUCUGAUUGACCAUUAUAAGUGGAACUGGCUCUGCUGUACCCACCCUUGUUGAUUACGGCCAACUUGUGGAGGAAGUCAACCGACCCUAUGGUUGAAUGUAUGUAUUAUGAUGUGAUCCCGGGAAUACCUGGCAUUGUGGGGAAUGUUGGAUGCCUAGCACCGUGGUGCUAGAAGUCUCCCAAAUAAGUACAGACUUAUCAAAUAUGGACUAACCAAUAAGUUAUUUAUGAAUAGUUAUAUUAUGUUAUUAAUCAUGAGAGAAAGAUUUUGUUUAAAUGUAUUAUGAAAAGUUAAAAUCUCUCAUGAAAAGAAGUUUAUGAUGAAAAGAAAAGUUGUUCUUUAAAAAUAAGAGUUUCUGAAGUUUUGUUACGCUUUAAAGAUAAAGUUUCUGAUAAAAGUACAAGUUUAUGUUAAAAAGUUAUAAGAUAUCUGUUCUUUAUAAAACGUUAAGUUUUAUAACUAAGAAAGUUAUAAUAUUUUAUGAGAAGAAGUUUGUGAAGAAAAGUUUUGUUAUUCUUUAAGAUGUUUCUAGUUUAAGACAAAGUUACUAAUUAUUUGAUUUAAGUUAAAAUAAUUAUUUUGUAAUGAGAAUGCAUAUAUAUUGAUUUUAAACAAUCAAUAUUAUAUUUGGUGACUUUGUAAGAAACGAAAAAAAUUAAAUUCGAAAGGUUUUGGUAAUAUUAUUCUUAUAAGGAAAGGGAGAACAAUUAUUUUCCUAUGAAAACCGUAUAAAUUAUUAUUAUGAAUAAUAUAAAAUACGAUACAUGAAAAGAUGUUCUCCUAUUCGAAUAUUCAUAAAAUGAAAUUAUUUGAUUUACAUACAUCCUUAUUAAAUUCUCAUGUAUCUUACCUUUAUUGAGCUGUGUAGCUCACCUCUUCCACUCUUUCAGUCAACAGGUUUUAUUUUAGAGCAUAACAAGUCUUAGUCGAGUUUUAGAAGGAGCUGGUUUUAGUUUUAAAAGUAUAGAUCCCGAAUUAGCAAAUUGAUGUUUAGCUUUGUAGUGUUAUGUAUUUUAGGAUCUAAUGAAAGUUGUGUACGUUAAAGUAUUAAGAGAUGUAUUAUGUGAAAUUUAGAAUUUGAGUAAUUGGUGUAUUAUGUUA